AUGAUUGAGACAGUUUCCUACUUUAAUGAUCAGCAAAAAGAGGAUCCAGAUUUCUUUGCAAGAUUAAGUGAUGAGGAGGACAGGGUUGAGAAUAUUUUCUGGGUUGACGAUGCAGGAAGGAGGGCUUAUGUAGAGGCAUACCACGACCGCAUAUCCUUUGACACCACGUACAUGACUAACAUGUGUAACAUGCCCUUUGCACCAUUCAUUGGAAUUCAUCGACAUGGGCAAUCAUUCAUGGUGGGGUGCGGUUUUGUGAGGCAAGAGUUGGCUACAAGCUUUGAUUGGCUAUUUGGGACCUUUCUUGAGGCGAUGCAUGGUUUAGCACCAACAAACAUCAUUACUGACCAGGACAUCGCGAUGGCACAUUCGAUUAAAAGGAUGUUCCCAACAAGUAUUUGA
rnacentral:rRNA from 1 species